UCAGACAUGGUGUAACGGUAACGCCGCGUCUAAUCUUAGUUGAGGUUUCCACAACACUCACAUACGAGUCGGAGGCUGAUCAGGGUUCGAAUCCCUGUGUCUGAA